rnacentral:rRNA from 1 species
GACGAACGCUGGCGGCGUGCUUAACACAUGCAAGUCGAACGGUAAGGCCUUUCGGGGUACACGAGUGGCGAACGGGUGAGUAACACGUGGGUGUUCUUCCCUGCACUUCGGGAUAAGCCCGGGCAACUGGGUCUAAUACCGGAUAGGACUGCGCGGUGCAUGCCGUGUGGUGGACAGAUUUAUCGGUGCAGGAUGGGCCCGCGGCCUAUCAGCUUGUUGGUGGGGUAAUGGCCUACCAAGGCGACGACGGGUAGCCGGCCUGAGAGGGGGACCGGCCACACUGGGACUGAGAGACGGCCCAGACGCCUACGGGAGGCAGCAGUGGGGAAUAUUGCACAAUGGGCGCAAGCCUGAUGCAGCGACGCCGCGUGAGGGAUGACGGCCUUCGGGUUGUAAACCUCUUUCAGCAGGGACGAAGCGUGAGUGACGGUACCUGAAGAAGAAGCACCGGCCAACUACGUG